GUUGCACUCUUUGUCAACCACUUUGGCAGGUGCAAUUCAAUGCUUAUCAUCAAUUUGUUGGCUAUCAAUGGUUGCCUUACGGGAUUCUGCAACAAAGCUGAGUUGGUUGAAAUGCUGAUCCUGGGCCACUUGGUUACUGGCUUGUAAUGUGGACUCUGCACAGGUUUUGUGCCCAUGUACAUUGGAGAGAUCUUGCCUACUGCCUUUUGGGGUACCUUUAGUGCUCUCACCCAGCUGGGCAUCAUUGUUGGUAUUCUGGAGAUCCAGAUCUUUGGUCUGGAGUUCAUCUUGGGGUCUGAAGAGCUAUGCCCAGUGAUACUGGGCUUUACCAUCCUUCCAGCUGUCCUAUAAAGUGUAGCCCUUCCAUUUUGCCCUGAAAGUCAUAAGUUUUUGCUCAUUAACAGAAAGCAAGAGUACUAAUGAGAUCCUUCGGCAAUUGUAGGGGACUCAGGAUGUGUCCCAGGACAUCCAGGAGAUAAGAGUGCUAGGAUGGUACAAGAAAAGCAACACACUGGCGCUCUUUAGAAUACCCAGCUACCAACAACCCACUGUCUUUUCCAUCAUGUUCCAGCUCUCUCAGUAGCUCUCUGGAAUCAAUGUUGUCUUCUGUUUCUCAAUGAGAAUCUUCAAGGAUUUGCAGGUGUUGAGAAGCCAAUCUAGAGAUUAGUGCAGGAGUGGUUAGUAUCUUCUUGACUGUAGUCUCUGUUUCUGGUUGAAAGGGCAGGAAGGACUUUACAUAUGAUAGGUCUUGGAGGGAUGGCGUUUUGUUCUGUCCUCAUGAUUGUUUGUUAUUAAAGGAUGAGUAUGGUGGGAUGAGCUUUGUAGUGGGGCUGUCUUGGUCUUUGUGGCCUUCUCUGGAGUUGGACCAGGCCCCAUUCUCUGGUGUACUGUGGCCACACUCUUCAGUUUGCAAUAGCAAUGGCUGGUUGCUCCAACUGGACCUCCAAUUUUCUAGUUGGAUUGCUCUUCCUGAACAAUUAUUUAGUUUAAGUGUGUUGUUGCUUUAGGGUCAUGGCAUGCUUAUGUAUGUCUAUUACCAUCUGACCAUGGUACUAUGCCAGGUUCUCUUAGGAGACCUGAAUCUUUCCAGUAGAUCACAUUUGAGAUAGUAUGAGUCCACUGGGCACAGUUCCCAACAGUCCAAACAUACAUACUUCACUGAAGCAGAUCUAAUGAUUCCAUUGACUUCAUUUCUAAAAUCGGACUUUGAGGGGCCAGUUUCCAAGGAUUAAAAAGAAACUUUAAUGCGUUGUAGACCUCUGUACCCAGAAAAUCUUUGUAACUUUUGGGCUUAAUUUUCCUUCUUAAAAAAUCUGGUAACUUUUUCAAAUGCAAGGAGCACUGUCAGUUUGCUGUGAGGCUAGGCAAAGAACACAAGAUAUAGAAUCUCCCAUCACCACCACCCUGCCCCUGCGAGAAGAUUGCCUUUUAAUUAGAGACUUUUAAAACUAGUGCUUUUUAAGUUCUACGCUCAUCUUUUCCAAAGACUAAGUCUAUUAGUAAACUUGCCAUGUAAUUUGACAUGGCAGUUCCUUGCUCAACUACCCUAAAUAAGUUGGAAAUUAGGUGGUAUCUUAGUUUGGGUAAAGUCAGUGCUAUUGCCUGUAAUACACUUGGUAAUUGAAAGCCCUUCAAGUGGUUCAGAUUAUUUGCCAAAUAUUAGACUCUAUAAAAACUUGAGAUUUUUUUUUUUUUUAAUACUUUGA